CGGGACGGGUGAGUAAUGUCUGGGAAACUGCCUGAUGGAGGGGGAUAACUACUGGAAACGGUAGCUAUACCGCAUAACGUCGCAAGACCAAGAGGGGGACCUUCGGGCCUCUUGCCAUCGGAUGUGCCCAGAUGGGAUUAGCUAGUAGGUGGGGUAACGGCUCACCUAGGCGACGAUCCCUAGCUGGUCUGAGAGGAUGACCAGCCACACUGGAACUGAGACACGGUCCAG
rnacentral:rRNA from 1 species